ACGGAGGGUGCAAGCGUUAUCCGGAUUCACUGGGUUUAUAGGGUGCGUAGGUGGGUUGGUAAGUCAGUGGUGAAAUCCCCGAGCUUAACUCGGGAACUGCCAUUGAUACUAUCAGUCUUGAAUACCGUGGAGGUCAGCGGAAUAUGUCAUGUAGCGGUGAAAUGCUUAGAUAUGACAUAGAACACCAAUUGCGAAGGCAGCUGGCUACACAAUUAUUGACACUGAGGCUCGAAAGCGUGGGGAUCAAACAGGA
rnacentral:rRNA from 1 species